AUUGAACGCUGGCGGCAGGCCUAACACAUGCAAGUCGAACGAGAGGCGGGCGGGUGAGAAAUGUCUGGGAAACUGCCUGAUGGAGGGGGAUCACUAGUGGAAACGGUAGCUAAAACCGCCUACCCACAGGUGUGACCCGAUGGGGUUAGCUUGUUGGUGGGGUAACGGCUCACCAAGGCGACGAUCCCUAGCUGGUCUGAGAGGAUGACGAGUCUCACUGUAACUGAGGCACGGGCCAGACUCCUACGGUGGCCACGAGGGGGGAAUAUUGCACAAUGGGCGCAAGCCUGAUUCAUCCAUGCCGCGUGUAUGGAGUAGGCCUUCGGGUUUUAAAGUACUUUCAGCGGGUAGGCGUUACCCGCAGAAGAAGCACCGGCUAACUCCGUGCCAGCAGCCGCGGUAAUAC
rnacentral:rRNA from 1 species